rnacentral:rRNA from 1 species
CCGAUGGCGACCGGCGCACGGGUGAGUAACACGUAUCCAACCUGCCGAUAACUCGGGGAUAGCCUUUCGAAAGAAAGAUUAAUAUCCGAUAGCAUAUCAAGAUCGCAUGAUCUUGAUAUUAAAGAAUUUCGGUUAUCGAUGGGGAUGCGUUCCAUUAGUUAGUUGGCGGGGUAACGGCCCACCAAGACGACGAUGGAUAGGGGUUCUGAGAGGAAGGUCCCCCACAUUGGAACUGAGACACGGUCCAAACUCCUACGGAAGGCAGCAG